CCUCCUACUAGGCGCGGUCAACUACUUACAUAUCUAGACAGCCAAUACAUCCUCGCUCCCCCCCUAGUUCUGCAGCUGGCCUGCCUUAUCAGAGACUGUUUCCCUUCAGCUGGCCUGCCUUAUCAGAGACUGUUUCCCUUCAGCUGUCCUGCCUUAUCAGAGACUGUUGCCCUUCAGCUGGCCUGCCUUAUCAGAGACUGUUUCCCUUCAGCCGUCCUGCCUUAUCAGAGACUGUUGCCCUUCAGCUGGCCUGCCUUAUCAGAGACUGUUUCCCUUCAGCUGGCCUGCCUUAUCAGAGACUGUUUCCCUUCAGCUGGCCUGCCUUAUCAGAGACUGUUUCCCUUCAGCUGGCCUGCCUUAUCAGAGACUGUUUCCCUUCAGCUGGCCUGCCUUAUCAGAGACUGUUUCCCUUCAGCUGGCCUGCCUUAUCAGAGACUGUUGCCCUUCAGCUGGCCUGCCUUAUCAGAGACUGUUGCCCUUCAGCUGGCCUGCCUUAUCAGAGACUGUUGCCCUUCAGCUGGCCUGCCUUAUCAGAGACUGUUGCCCUUCAGCUGGCCUGCCUUAUCAGAGACUGUUGCCCUUCAGCUGGCCUGCCUUAUCAGAGACUGUUUCCCUUCAGCUGGCCUGCCUUAUCAGAGACUGUUGCCCUUCAGCUGGCCUGCCUUAUCAGAGACUGUUGCCCUUCAGCUGGCCUGCCUUAUCAGAGACUGUUGCCCUUCAGCUGGCCUGCCUUAUCAGAGACUGUUGCCCUUCAGCUGGCCUGCCUUAUCAGAGACUGUUGCCCUUCAGCUGGCCUGCCUUAUCAGAGACUGUUGCCCUUCAGCUGGCCUGCCUUAUCAGAGACUGUUGCCCUUCAGCUGGCCUGCCUUAUCAGAGACUGUUGCCCUUCAGCUGGCCUGCCUUAUCAGAGACUGUUGCCCUUCAGCUGGCCUGCCUUAUCAUACAUGUAACUUAAUCAAUAAGUUAUUAUAUAGUGACAGGAAAAAGUAUAUUUCAAGUUAA
rnacentral:lncRNA from 8 species